rnacentral:rRNA from 1 species
UACGGGGGGGGCAAGCGUUGUUCGGAAUUACUGGGCGUAAAGGGCUCGUAGGUGGCCAACUAAGUCAGACGUGAAAUCCCUCGGCUUAACCGGGGAACUGCGUCUGAUACUGGAUGGCUUGAGUUUGGGAGAGGGAUGCGGAAUUCCAGGUGUAGCGGUGAAAUGCGUAGAUAUCUGGAGGAACACCGGUGGCGAAGGCGGCAUCCUGGACCAACACUGACACUGCGGAGCGAAAGCCAGGGGAGCAAACGGG